rnacentral:rRNA from 1 species
UACGAAGGGGGCUAGCGUUGCUCGGAAUCACUGGGCGUAAAGGGUGCGUAGGCGGGUCUUAAGUCAGGGGUGAAAUCCUGGAGCUCAACUCCAGAACUGCCUUUGAUACUGAAGAUCUUGAGUUCGGGAGAGGUGAGUGGAACUGCGAGUGUAGAGGUGAAAUUCGUAGAUAUUCGCAAGAACACCAGUGGCGAAGGCGGCUCACUGGCCCGAUACUGACGCUGAGGCACGAAAGCGUGGGGAGCAAACAGGGAUU